rnacentral:rRNA from 1 species
CGUGAGUAACCUGCCCUGGAGUGGGGAAUAACAGCUGGAAACAGCUGCUAAUACCGCAUAAUGCAGUUGGGCCGCAUGGCUCUGACUGCCAAAGAUUUAUCGCUCUGGGAUGGACUCGCGUCUGAUUAGCUAGUUGGUGGGGCAACGGCCCACCAAGGCGACGAUCAGUAGCCGGCCUGAGAGGGUGAACGGCCACAUUGGGACUGAGACACGGCCCAAACUCCUACGGGAGGCAGCAG